UGCGUUUUCAGUCAUCGAUUCAUAAGUCUGGAAACGCAUGUUAUAUCAGACGAACAAAGGCAGGCCGGAAAUAGAUUUUCUCGGUUUCUUUCCUCAGCAUCCUAUUCCAUAUGAACCAAAAAGACCGACCUUUUUGAAUUCUGAAAGGAAUUCCACCUUUUCAUUUCAGACAAAUUGGAAGCUUUAUAUCAGAUGGUUCUAUUUCUGGGCACAAUUUGCCCUUCUCCUUCUCUAUCCUGUUUUGCCCUUUACAGACGCCAAAUCUUGCGCAAAAGUUCUGCCAUUUCGGUUCCCAGAAAUGGGUUCUCUCCCUUCAGACGAAUCUUUCAGGCUUCGCUUCAAUCUAAUUCUACAAAUGAGGAUGCUGGAUUGCAGUUACCUGCCGACCUAUCAGAAAUCAUAUUUAUGGGGACAGGAACUAGUGAAGGGGUUCCACGUGUGAGCUGCCUGACAAAUCCUUUAAAGACAUGUCCGGUUUGCUCAAAAGCUGUGGAACCAGGUAAUAAAAAUAGAAGACUCAACACAAGCAUCCUUAUUCGUUAUCCUAGGGCCUCUGGAAGAUGUAACAUUCUCAUAGAUGCUGGAAAGUUCUUCUAUCACAGUGCCCUCCGAUGGUUUCCUACCUUUGGGAUAAGAACACUUGACGCUGUUAUUAUUACUCAUUCUCAUGCUGAUGCAAUUGGAGGCCUUGAUGAUCUUCGUGACUGGACAAACAAUGUCCAGCCCUACAUUCCAAUUUAUGUGGCCCAGCGCGAUUUUGAGGUGAUGAAGAAGACACAUUAUUACUUAGUGGAUACAAGUGCCGUUUUACCCGGUGCUGCAGUCUCAGAAUUGCAAUUCAAUAUCAUACAUGAGGAGCCAUUUGUUGUCCAUGAUCUAAAGUUUACCCCUUUACCAGUAUGGCAUGGUCGUGAUUAUCGUUCCCUUGGGUUUCGUUUCGGUAACAUUUGUUACAUUAGUGAUGUUAGCGGGAUACCUGAAGAAACUUAUCCACUUCUGAAGGGCUGUGAAGUCCUGAUUCUGGAUGCUUUAAGGCCAGAUCGGUCUUCUUCAACACAUUUCGGACUUCCAAGGGCUUUGGAGGAGGUACGGAAAAUCCAACCAAAGAGAACACUUUUCACUGGCAGGUUAAGAAGUGGCAAAAUAUUCAUCGUUACUUGCAACUUGUGGAAGAUGCGCUCUGAUUUUUAGGAUAAACGAAAGAAGUAAUGCCAUGGACAGGCAUGUUGAUUUCGUUUUUAUCUAUUAUGUGAUCAACUCGGGGCACCCAGAGUAUGCUUGACGUAUGCCCCCAGUUUGGUUAAGGUGUCAAAAGGAAUAUGGCCGCCUGAUCCGACAAGGAACUUCUUGUCAAACUGGGAGAAAUGGAGAGAGGAGAGGAGAGGGUCAAUUCGCUCGCCUUGCAUGAGUCUGUCAAAUUGUGUCCAAUCAUGAAUGGCCACGAGGAAUUGUCGGGUCAAGGACGUGUCUUCGAGUUGUCCUUUUCACGGAUGGUGUUGUUGGAAGGCAGCGGGUGGAAUGCUGUAAGCCUGUACAGUAACACACACCCCCACACCACCUAGCAUUAUAAACGACUUGGAGAAGAGGAUAUUUAGGAUGCUCCUCCUCUUCAUUCUUCCACAUAGACUCUUCGCAGUAGAGCCGUUCACCCGCACAUGAUUAUGAAGGCUUGCUUAGCUUGCUCAAGAAUUCCACGAGCAGCAACGUCGACGACUGUUGCUAGGAAAGAACUGGCACCUAAAUCCCAGAUCAACUACUACUACAAGACAACCGUGCAGUGCAACUAGCUAGGGCUUCGUAGAAUAAUAGGGUUUGCCUAAUUACUUUCAUACAGGAGCACUUUGUCUAUUCUGGCAUAAAGUCACGAACUUUGCUUGGGGAUAAUUAGCCGCCCCAUGAGGCUGGCAUAGUCAAGAUCAGUCGGCCGUGGCGGCCUAACCCUAGACCUAACUAGUUGCAGACUUGCAGCCACGUACGGCUACCAUAUAUCAGGUCCAUGGUCAAGGUUUUUAUUAAUCUGGCGUUGAUUUUUAAGUCAUGGCAGAGAUAAGAAAAAGGAAAGAUCAGGAUCACAAAGAGUUGCUGGAUUAAAUUAUAAAUGCUUAAAUGAGCAGUACAACUGUAACGAUGUUACUUUUCAGAUCAGUAAGCUUCUAAGAAGCUUGAUAGGGAGAGAUGCUGUUAGCAGAGAAAACAAAAAUCUGAGGAGUUUUGAGAGCUCAGACUUAAUCUGUAUAAAUUGAGUGAACUUGAAGGGCAACAUAUAUGAUAAAAUAAUACUUACAUACAUAUAUAUAUGUGCGCGCGUGUGCAUGCAUGCUGCGCAACGAAA